ensembl:snRNA U6 U6 spliceosomal RNA
GUGCUCACUUUGGCAGCACAUACACUAAAAUUGGAACGAUACAGAGAUUAGCAUGGCCCCUGUGCAAGGAUGACACACAAAUGCAUAAAGCACUCCAUAUGCUU